AUUGAACGCUGGCGGCAUGCCUUACACAUGCAAGUCGAACGGCAGCACGGGAGCAAUCCUGGUGGCGAGUGGCGAACGGGUGAGUAAUAUAUCGGAACGUGCCCAGUCGUGGGGGAUAACGCAGCGAAAGCUGUGCUAAUACCGCAUACGAUCUCUGGAUGAAAGCGGGGGACUCGCAAGGGCCUCGCGCGAUUGGAGCGGCCGAUAUCAGAUUAGCUAGUUGGCGGGGUAAAGGCCCACCAAGGCGACGAUCUGUAGCUGGUCUGAGAGGACGACCAGCCACACUGGAACUGAGACACGGUCCAGACUCCUACGGGAGGCAGCAGUGGGGGAAUUUUGGACAAUGGGCGCAAGCCUGAUCCAGCCAUUCCGCGUGCAGGAUGAAGGCCUUCGG
rnacentral:rRNA from 1 species